rnacentral:rRNA from 1 species
AUGCAAGUCGAGGGGCAAGCACGAAGUAAGCUUGCUUACUUUGGUGGCGACCGGCGCACGGGUGCGUAACAGGUGUGCAAUCUGUCCAUAAUCGGGGAAUAGCCCAGCGAAAGUUGGAUUAAUGCUCCAUGUGAGUAGAGGAGGCAUCUCUUUUAUUUGAAAACGUAAGGAUUAUGGGGUGAGCACGCUUCUGAUUAGGUAGUUGGUGAGGUAACGGCUCACCAAGCCGACGAUCAGUAGGGGUUCUGAGAGGAAGGUCCCCCACAUUGGAACUGAGACACGGUCCAAACUCCUACGGGAGGCAGCAGUGAGGAAUAUUGGUCAAUGGACGGAAGUCUGAACCAGCCAAGUCGCGUGAAGGAUGAAGGUUCUAUGGAUUGUAAACUUCUUUUGUCUGAGGGUAAAAAAGCGGACGUGUCCGUUCUUGCAAGUAUCAGACGAAUAAGCAUCGGCUAACUCCGUG